UGGAUUUGUCUGCCUGCAAGGCAAACACCCCGCUCUUGCGCUAUCACUCUGGCCCCCAAAACUGGUUUUUAUUUUAUACGUUAAUGUGUGCCUCCUGCUGUUAAGGAUGUAAGAAUCUGAUGCCUUUAUUGCACCAGUUACUUAGAAGUUAUGUAAUCAUUGCUGUACUCAAAUAUUGGGAGCUUUUUAAAACCAAUAAUUAUUAAUUUUAAAGUAUGAGAAUUGAUAUCCUAUCAUAUAUGUUUUAUCUAGAGCUUAUGUAUUUAGAGCAUUUGUUUGGAGGGACCAGUAAACAAUAUGUUUGAACAUAAAUAAAAACAUAUUCCAACUAAA